rfam:Triticum aestivum genome assembly, contig: Triticum_aestivum_CS42_TGACv1_scaffold_321711_4BL
CAUGUACCCCCUCCGACCGAAAAUACUUGUCAUCAAAAUGGAUAAAAGAAGAUGUAUCUAGAACAGGAUGAGGAUGUAUCUAGAACAUACAUCCUGUUCUAGAUACAUCCUCUUUUAUCCAUUUUGAUGACAAGUAUUUUCGAACGGAUGGAGUAUUUA